rnacentral:rRNA from 1 species
UUACCAAGGCUUGACAUACACCGGAAACGGCCAGAGAUGGUCGCCCCCUUGUGGUCGGUGUACAGGUGGUGCAUGGCUGUCGUCAGCUCGUGUCGUGAGAUGUUGGGUUAAGUCCCGCAACGAGCGCAACCCUUGUCCUGUGUUGCCAGCGUGCCCUUCGGGGUGACGGGGACUCACAGGAGACCGCCGGGGUCAACUCGGAGGAAGGUGGGGACGACGUCAAGUCAUCAUGCCCCUUAUGUCUUGGGCUGCACACGUGCUACAAUGGCAGGUACAAUGAGCUGCGAUACCGUGAGGUGGAGCGAAUCUCAAAAAGCCUGUCUCAGUUCGGAUUGGGGUCUGCAACUCGACCCCAUGAAGUCGGAGUUGCUAGUAAUCGCAGAUCAGC